rnacentral:rRNA from 1 species
UACGUAGGGGGCAAGCGUUGUCCGGAUUUAUUGGGCGUAAAGAGCGUGUAGGCGGUUUGGUAGGUCCGCUGUGAAAACUCGAGGCUCAACCUCGAGACGCCGGUGGAAACCGUCUGGCUAGAGUCCGGAAGAGGAGAGCGGAAUUCCUGGUGUAGCGGUGAAAUGCGCAGAUAUCAGGAGGAACACCCGUGGCGAAGGCGGCUCUCUGGGACGGUACUGACGCUGAGACGCGAAAGCGUGGGGAGCGAACAGG